GGCUCUGUGGCGCAAUGGAUAGCGCAUUGGACUUCUAAUUCAAAGGUUGUGGGUUUGAGUCCCACCAGAGUCG
rnacentral:tRNA from 1 species